AUCGCUUCUCGGCCUUAAGCUAAGAUUAAGUGUAGUGUCUUUUCUUAUCCGUUUAAUAUCAGAUACCUCCCCUAUGUGAGAACUAUAUAUUUAAUGGAUUUUUAGAACAGGGAAAUGGAAAAGAGCUUUCUCUGUCACUCUACCCAUGACAUGGUGCUGCAGUACCUCCAGGACCGGUGCUCCUGUC